GCUUCACUUCAGAGCUACUAACAGAGUCGAGAACUAACUGUGGAGCCUGAAAAAUGUUCUUCACUUGACUUAGAGAUCCUCAAGAAAACGAUUAAAAAAUGUGAAAAAACAAAGUUUGACUUUCUUCAGAAAACCAAACAAGCAAACAACUACAAUCAGAUCAUUGGAAAUAAUCUGGACAGACAAUGUUGCAAUGAUUUCUCAGCUGAUCGGUUAACCGGCGACAGUGAGAAUUUCCCAUUACAAGGAGAAACAGAAAGCUUCGAUUCAGUCAAGAAUAUAGAAAAAAGCUUAAGAUCAAAAUCACAACACUCAUAACAACAAAAGACUAGAGGGAAUACGAG
rnacentral:misc_RNA from 1 species